rnacentral:rRNA from 1 species
CAGCCGCCGCGGGAAUUCCAGCAGCCCAAGUGGUGGUCGCGCUUAUUGGGCCUAAAGCGCUCGUAGCCUGGCCGGUAAGUUCCCCGUGAAAUCGGGUCGCCCAACGAUUCGGCUUGCGGGGAAUACUGUCGGUCUUGGGGCCGGGAGACGCCGAGGGUACUCCGGGGGUGGCGGUGAAAUGCUGUAAUCCUCGGGGGACUACCAGUGGCGAAGGCGCUCGGCGAUAACGGGCCUGACGGUGAGGGGCGAAAGCUGGGGGCGCGAACGGGAUUAGAUACCCCUGUAGUCCCUGUCUCUUAUA